rnacentral:rRNA from 1 species
CCUACGGGAGGCAGCAGUGAGGAAUAUUGGUCAAUGGACGAGAGUCUGAACCAGCCAAGUAGCGUGAAGGAUGACUGCCCUAUGGGUUGUAAACUUCUUUUAUAAAGGAAUAAAACGAGGCACGUGUGCCUUUUUGCAUGUACUUUAUGAAUACGGAUCGGCUAACUCCGUGCCAGCAGCCGCGGUAAUACGGAGGAUCCGAGCGUUAUCCGGAUUUAUUGGGUUUAAAGGGUGCGUAGAUGGGUUGUUAAGUCAGUUGUGAAAGUUUGCGGCUCAACCGUAAAAUUGCAAGUGAUACUGGCAGUCGUGAGUACAGUUGAGGUAGGCGGAAUUCGUGGUGUAGCGGUGAAAUGCUUAGAGAUCACGAAGAACCCCGAUUGCGAAGGCAGCUUACUAAACUGUGACUGACAUUGAUGCUCGAAAGUGUGGGUAUCAAACAGGAUUAGAUACCCUUGUAGUC